rnacentral:rRNA from 1 species
GAUGAACGCUGGCGGCGUGCCUAAUACAUGCAAGUCGAGCGAACAGACGAGGAGCUUGCUCCUCUGACGUUAGCGGCGGACGGGUGAGUAACACGUGGAUAACCUACCUAUAAGACUGGGAUAACUUCGGGAAACCGGAGCUAAUACCGGAUAAUAUAUUGAACCGCAUGGUUCAAUAGUGAAAGACGGUUUUGCUGUCACUUAUAGAUGGAUCCGCGCCGCAUUAGCUAGUUGGUAAGGUAACGGCUUACCAAGGCGACGAUGCGUAGCCGACCUGAGAGGGUGAUCGGCCACACUGGAACUGAGACACGGUCCAGACUCCUACGGGAGGCAGCAGUAGGGAAUCUUCCGCAAAGGGCGAAAGCCUGACGGAGCAACGCCGCGUGAGUGAUGAAGGUCUUCGGAUCGUAAAACUCUGUUAUUAGGGAAGAACAAAUGUGUAAGUAACUAUGCACGUCUUGACGAUACCUAAUCAGAAAGCCACGGCUAACUACGUG